AUGGAAAAAUGGGGGAAGGAAAUGCGGGCAAGGAACAUUGGUCACCACACCCUUGGAAGCCGUGGUUACCUAGGGAAGAAGCCGAAGUGGGACAAGCAGGACGCUGAGUUUGCUGCAGCAGGCAACUAUCCUGUCAUGGUGCCAGAGACGAGGAGUAGGAGGGUCCACGCAUCGGAGACCGUGUUGUCCUCGGCGCAGUGCCCUCGACUCACGCGCGCUGGAAGCAGGGUGGAUGUGCCGACCAGUGGCCGCUCCGGUCAGGUUAAUGAGGAUGUCGAGAGCAGAUUCCAGCAUUUGGCAAGUUCAGUACACAAUGAUGUUAUGCAGUUAAAGGCAGCGAACGGAGAGGACGAGGGAGGCGUGCACAUCCAAGACCUUGUUGUCGUCGUUCCGCGAAUGACGAGGAGGAGGGCGAGGGAGGCAUGCGCGUUGGAGACUGCGUUGCCGUCGUUGCAGCGCACUCAACUCACACGCGGUGGAAGCAGGGGGGAGGCCCCGACCAAUGGCCGCUCCGCCUCUUCUUCGCGGACGAUAAGCGCGGGCGAUGAAGCUGUAGAACCGUCAUCACGUCAUGGUGGCCCAGACGCCUUGGGCACAUACACAGAUGGGCAGGACGACUACACAUCCACUGUUCAUGAUGAGUCCUGCACCGCCGCAAAUCCUGAAGAUGCGACCGAUCGCGACGAAGGGACCGGCCAAGGGGACCAGGCAGCUGGACAACCUAAAAAGCAACGGAAACCUAGGCGCCCAAACAUGCUUAGCACCGAUAGGAUUGUCAUCAACCGAGUGUCUGAGGCGGGUCUACCUCUUAGUCCCAAGAAGGCCGAACAAGGUUACAGUAAUGGCCUAGGCUGCAUCCUUCGCGAAACCGUGAGCAUUAACGAAACCAAUCUCAGGUCGAAAGCCAACGAGAAUUUGCGAGCACUCCUCAUAUCGAAGCUGCACACUCAUUACAAGUUCCCGGAUGAGUCCCUAGACGAGACCACUCCGGUAAAUAACACAGCCCUCUGCAAGUGGACCAAGCUUUUGAGUACAUGGAAAUCCAAAGCCAAAAGCGAAUACCUUGAGAAAGAUUACGAAACCGAGAUAAAAAAGAAGUGGCCUUCGGUUUCUGAGGAGGACUGGAACCUGUUCAAGCAGCACUGCGAGACCCCUGAAGUCAAGGAGAUGGAAAAAUGGGGGAAGGAAAUGCGGGCAAGGAACAUUGGUCACCACACCCUUGGAAGCCGUGGUUACCUAGGGAAGAAGCCGAAGUGGGACAAGCAGGACGCUGAGUUUGCUGCAGCAGGCAUAUCAAACCCCUUCAAGGAAUUUGAAAACCCACGUGAAAAUGAUUACAUCAGGGGCCGGUGCAAGUAUGAUGAAGCGACUAAGGCAUGGGUAUUGGACGAGAAAACGGCGAAAGUCAAGGAACUCCUGAGGCAGUAUCAUGUGGAAUCUCAAAGCUCCCAGGAGUCAGAGUGCUCGGCAAUGUGGGAUGACCCUCUGAACAGGUCGAUCAACGUGGUGCUCGGCAAGGACCCGAAAACGAGGCCGGCUUAUGGUCGUGUGAACGGCGUCGGGCUCAACGAAAAAUGGGACACGCAUUAUCCCGAAGACCGCGAGCUUGCAAGGCAGAGAAGGAGAGCCGGCCGAGCUAGUUUCGAAUCCAGAUUGGCUGGAAUGAGAGAAGAACUUAAAGAAGAAAUGAGAGAGGAAGUCGAGGUGAAAGCCAAAGCCAUGGCGACAGCCCAGGUCAUGGAAAUGUGGCCCGAUCUAAUUGAGGCCGUCAAGCGAAGUUUAGCAUCGGGGCAAACAGCGCCACCAUCAUCCGCUUUCACGUUGGCGCCGGCCAAUGUCAUUUUGGAGAAAGAGCCGCGUCCUGGUGCACAUCAUAGCAGCCGCUCUGCCCCUUUCAUGGGCUAG
rnacentral:rRNA from 1 species